rnacentral:rRNA from 1 species
UAGGGAAUCUUCGGCAAUGGGGGGAACCCUGACCGAGCAACGCCGCGUGAGUGAAGAAGGUUUUCGGAUCGUAAAGCUCUGUUGUUAAGGAAGAACGAGUGUGAGAAUGGAAAGUUCAUGCUGUGACGGUACUUAACCAGAAAGGUACGGCUAACUACGUGCCAGCAGCCGCGGUAAUACGUAGGUCCCGAGCGUUGUCCGGAUUUAUUGGGCGUAAAGCGAGCGCAGGCGGUUAGAUAAGUCUGAAGUUAAAGGCAGUGGCUCAACCAUUGUAGGCUUUGGAAACUGUUUAACUUGAGUGCAGAAGGGGAGAGUGGAAUUCCAUGUGUAGCGGUGAAAUGCGUAGAUAUAUGGAGGAACACCGGUGGCGAAAGCGGCUCUCUGGUCUGUAACUGACGCUGAGGCUCGAAAGCGUGGGGAGCGAACAGG